AAAGUUGGAUCCUGGCUCAGGAUGAACGCUAGCGGCAGGCUUAACACAUGCAAGUCGAGGGGCAGCAUAAUGGAUAGCAAUAUCUAUGGUGGCGACCGGCGCACGGGUGCGUAACGCGUAUGCAACCUACCUUUAACAGGGGGAUAACACUGAGAAAUUGGUACUAAUACCCCAUAAUAUCAUAGAAGGCAUCUUUUAUGGUUGAAAAUUCCGAUGGUUAGAGAUGGGCAUGCGUUGUAUUAG
rnacentral:rRNA from 1 species